GACGGACGGACGGACGGACGGACGGACGGACAGACAGACAGACAGACAGAUAGAUAGAUGGAUGGAUUAAUGGAUGGGUGGAUUAGUAUAGACAGAUGGAUGCAUUUAUUUUAGCUCACAUUUAUUCUUUAACGUCUUAUCCUAAAUUCGAUUAUGACAUUAGGGUUUCAUGAAACAUUUGAAGUUUUUUUUUGUUGUUUUUUUUUUGUCUUCUGCCCACACUGCCUACAUCUGUAAUGACAACCGGAGGAGGACAGGAGGAGGUGACGUCUUUGCAAAUAGACCCAAGAACUCAGGAAAUAAUUGGGGAGGCAGCACUGACAGGUGUCCAGUCCGACGCUCCGAGUGACAGCGACGCUGCUGAAGGCUCAUCCACAAAUAAUGAUCUGCUGUCAGAUGUCACAGCCAUUUACAGACACACCUGUAAGUUUGAGACGCAAUUUGCAUGAUGGAGAUCACAACUAUAAAUAGAAUAAAACUCAUUUAUUUCCUUUGUAAACUUUUUUUUCCUAGUGUAGUCUUUAAGGAUUGCAAUACUUUCUAAAUGUGAGUAAAUUAUUAGCUUUAAAGCAACAGUUUUCCCGAAUGAAGCUGACCGCUAAUGAAUUUAAAAUGAAAAUAAGAUCAGGAAAAACAUGCAUUUCAGACCAUAACACUGAAAAUAACAGAAUGUCUUACCCAGUGGCCAUAAAAUGUAUAAUUUAGCCCCUAAGGUUUAAACAUAUUGGGAAACAAACUGGUUGUGACUGUUGGGAUCAGUGUUUUGUUUUGUUUUUUUUUGUAAUCUUGGGGUUGGGUUUUGUUUUGUUGCCUGCUGUUUCCUCACCAUCCACCAGAGGUCCGCGAUGGGCUUAGCCCCUGGAACAUGCGGUGGCAGACCCUGUUGACGCACCUGUGGCUAAUUUGAAGAGGGCUGAAGUGGAGUAUUUAUGCUGCGGCUGGCAAACACUCCGGUGCCUGAGUGUUAACCUAGAAUGGUUUUCAGCCGUCUCCCAGCGUGUAGCCUGUGGAUACAAGUCUCCGAGUGAUCUCCGCUCCGGUCAGCCUCCCGAGGAACCGUUACUCCCUCUGACGCCUCAGGUAGUACCUGUUGGAAGCCAGUACCCUCGCCCCUGGAUGAAUCGAGCUCUCCGUUUGCCAACCGUCCGCUACAGCUGCUCUUACCUGCCCGUCCUCCAACGUGCUCCGCUCGCCGGAUUAGCGAGCUCUGGACCUCAGCCCUCCGAUGCAACAAUCAAACCCAUUCCACCCCUUAUCCAAGUAAGAUUCACCGACUUUCUCUGCAUUAUCCUUCUGCCACCGACUGCUAUUCACAUCUGUCCUCUCAUUUAACAGUUGAUGACCUUGCAGUUCCAACCCCGUAUCCAGAUCUCCCCACCACUUCUCUUUAUUUAAUAAACUUUAUUAUUGUGA